UACGGAGGAUCCAAGCGUUAUCCGGAUUUAUUGGGUUUAAAGGGUGCGUAGGCGGCUUUUUAAGUCAGGGGUGAAAGACGGUAGCUUAACUAUCGCAGUGCCUUUGAUACUGAAGAGCUUGAAUGGACUAGAGGUAGGCGGAAUGUGACAAGUAGCGGUGAAAUGCAUAGAUAUGUCACAGAACACCAAUUGCGAAGGCAGCUUACUAUGGUUUAAUUGACGCUGAGGCACGAAAGCGUGGGGAUCAAACAGGAUUAGAUACCCUGGUAGUCCACGCCCUAAACGAUGAACACUCGAUGUUAGCGAUAUACAGUUAGCGUCUAAGCGAAAGCGUUAAGUGUUCCACCUGGGGAGUACGCCCGCAAGGGUGAA
rnacentral:rRNA from 1 species